rnacentral:rRNA from 1 species
UACGGGGGGGGGCAAGCGUUGUUCGGAAUUACUGGGCGUAAAGGGCGCGUAGGCGGCCUUCUAAGUCGAACGUGAAAUCCCCGGGCUCAACCCGGGAACUGCGUCCGAUACUGGAAGGCUUGAAUCCGGGAGAGGAAUGCGGAAUUCCAGGUGUAGCGGUGAAAGUGCGUAGAUAUCUGGAGGAACACCGGUGGCGAAGGCGGCAUUCUGGACCGAUAUUGACGCUGAGGAGCGAAAGCCAGGGGAGCAAACGGG